rnacentral:rRNA from 1 species
GAUUUCUGACAUUAAUGCGCUUGGCCCGCUACGGUUACGCAUGUGAGUGCCGAGUCGUGUUUGUCAUCCUUCUAGAAAAUGUUUAUUUGGCUCUUCAUUGAGUUUUAUUCUCACGAUCUAGAUCUUUUACUUUGAAAAAAUUAGAGUGUUUAAAGCAGGCGUUUGCUAUGAAUACAUUAGCAUGGAAUAAUAAUUUAGGACUUUGGUUCUAUUUUGUUGGUUUCUAGAACUGAAGUAAUGAUUGAUAGGGAUGGUUGGGGGUGCUCGUAUUCAGUGGCCAGAGGUGAAAUUCUCGGAUUCACUGAAGACGAACUUAUGCGAAAGCAUU